rnacentral:rRNA from 1 species
CGACUCUCGGCAACGGAUAUCUUGGCUCUCGCAUCGAUGAAGAACGUAGCGAAAUGCGAUACUUGGUGUGAAUUGCAGAAUCCCGUGAACCAUCGAGUUUUUGAACGCAAGUUGCGCCCGAAGCCUUCGGCCAGGGCACGUCUGCCUGGGCGUCACGCACU